ACUCCAAAGCUAUCUCCCAAUAAACCCAUUCAUCUCCCCAACCCCUAGAACUCAAAGGCAUCAACACCGUACCUCGAAAGCUCUCAACCCCUUUCAUUGCUCUUUCCUUUCACCUUGAGAGUUCCAUCUAUGGCUAACCCUAAAUCCCCAAAUCCUCAAAUCAAAUCGCUGGCCUAGCCCAAACCCCCAAAGUCUCAAUCCUUUUCUGUUAUUCGAAGAAGAGAAGGCAUCAAAGAAGAACAAAGGAAAAAUCUAAAAGGCACGAUUAAAGGUGGAGCAAUUGAAGAAAGGGAAGAUGGAGUUAGUGAAGAUCUAGACCUUACUUAAGAACUUUGAAUUGUUGUCGAUGUUCUAGGAAUCUUUUGUUAUCAACAUUUGAAACUUACUCUAACUCAAUGUAAAACUUAUGUGAUUGGGUUAAAACAUUUUGGUUUUAUGGAUAUAUUAGCUUAUUGGACAAUAUAGAUUAUGAAGUAUUUUUUUCUUUUUA